ACCUAACGGCUCUUCUUCGAGUCUUCUCAGAGGUUGGAGAUUCCCUGUCUUCUCCAACCUCUGCCAAGUCUUCAGAGAGGUUGGAGUGCGCCUGUCGGAGGUACUAGACCCCAGAUGAGGAUCUCAGGAAGAUCCACAAAGCUGCGUCCAGGGGAACGAACGUGUGGAAGCUGCAGCGGAGCCUCCUGCUCAAGAGUAAAGGACCGGUCUGAAACCUACAAGAACAGAAGAGCCAUGUGACGGGAUCCGUGGUUUGGCAGAGGAGACAUGCGAGAAGACGGAACGUUUUGUCCGAAUAGACAUCUGGCAGGGUGGAACGGAGAGAACAGGUAUGGUGGAGAGAACGUCUGAGAAGGUCGCAGGAUUCGCAGGAGCAUCGGGAAAAGAUUGCCUGCUUGCCCGAAGGAAUGGCAAGUUCCAAAGCUGUGCUGUGGGCAGUGUUUAGUUCAUGUCUGCUUUGCUGGCGGGCCGAGUAGCAACAGCUGCAGUUGGUGUGUUCUCUGAAGGCAGUAUCCGAAGGCUGGAGGGGUUGCUUUUCUUCCCAGGUGUCUUUUGAAGAGGCAGUCAAGUCAGCAGCUCGCGGUGAACUUCUGCGAGAAAGAAGAAAGAAAUUCCGUGGAUAGGGAGCCAGCCAGGUUUCCUGCAGAAAAUCAUGGGAAGCUUUUGAGCAGGGGAGUCAGAAGAUGAGCGGGCUCCGGGAUGUCUCGUUCUUACUGUGUCCCUGCCAACCCUGGUCCCAUCUCGUCAUGAUCACCCACUGCAGAAGAGAGGAGGUUCUCACAGUAGACGAGGAGCCUGUUUUUCAGCUAGCUGCCACAAGGGGGCUGGAAAUUUCUCCCUUCAGAGUGGACCUGGAAGGCUUGGAAGCAUCUGGAGAAGGGCAUGGCCACGAGUAGAGAAAUCCAGGCUACAGGCAGAAGUGGGAGGAAGCGAGAGAGGAAGACUCAUG
rnacentral:lncRNA from 1 species